GAGGGUAUAGCUCAUUGGUAAAAAUGUGUGCUUGGAAUGCACGAGGUCCUGGAUUCAAUCCCCAGUACCUCCA
rnacentral:tRNA from 1 species